rnacentral:ncRNA from 1 species
AGGUAAUAAUAUAAGGGCGUAUGGUGGAUGCCUAGGGAUAUCGAGGCGAUGAAGGACGUUGCGUGCCUGCGAUAAGCUCCGGUGAGGUGGCAAGCAACCUUUGACCCGGAGAUUUCCGAAUGGGGAAACCCCUUCGUGAAAAACACGAUGACCCGUAGCAAUACGGGAGCGUACCCGCUGAAGUGAAACAUCUCAGUAAGCGGAGGAAAAGAAACCAAGUUUAGUUCCAAAUACAUGCGCCACACAUGUACGCGUGUAUUUGUGAACUAAAUCAUUCCCCAAGUAGCGGCGAGCGAAACGGGAACAGCCUAGAUCGUUUGAUACAAGGGAGCAAUCUUUUGCAUCGGACGAAGUUACAAGAUUAUGAUGUCGAUUCAAUUCGAGAGGGCAAAAAAUCGAAUGUGUUAGGAGAACGGCUCUGGAAAGGCCGGCCAAAGAGGGUAAUAGCCCCGUAUUCGAAAAUAUGUUCGUGCUCUUUUUCAUAACUCUUAAGUACUGCCCCGUUUGUAGUCUGGGCAGGAAGUCGGGAGAACUAGUCUCCCAAGGCUAAAUACUCGAUAUCACCGAUAGUGAACCAGUUCCGUGAGGGAAAGGUGAAAAGCAGCCCGGUGAGGGCGAUGAAAUAGUACCUGAAACCAUACGUUUACAAGGAGUCGGAGUCCGUUGCCCGCAAGGGUAACAGGACGACGGCGUGCCUAUUGAAGAAUGAGCCAACGAGUUUUUGGAUUCUACUCGUCUAAGUGCCUUUAAAGCACCAAGGCAGAGGGAAACCGAGUGUUAAUAGCGCGAUCUAAUUUUUAUGUUCAUGCGCUAACGCGUAUGAACGUAUAAAUUAAAAGUAGAAUUCAAAAGACCCGAAACCUCGUGAGCUUACCAUGAGCAGGUUGAACUCCGAUGAAAAUCGGAGGGAGGACCGAACCGGUUGGUCGUACAACGCCUUCGGAUGACUUGUGGUAAGGAGUGAAAAGCUAAUCGAACGAGGAAAUAGCUGGUUCUCUCCGAAAUAGUUUUUGGACUAGCCUCGGAUCACCGGUACAUGAGGGGAAGAGCCCAGACCGUCAACUAAGGUCCCUAAAUCUAUGCUAAGUGGCAAAAGUGGUGAGGUCUCUCAAACAACAAGGAGGUUGGCUUAGAAGCAGCCAUCCUUUAAAGAGUGCGUAACAGCUCACUUGUCAAGAGAUCGUGCGCUUAAAAUUUAACGGGGCUAAGCAUAGUCCCGACGCACUAUCUUUCAUUAGAUAGUGUAGUCGGGAUGCCGACUUCAACAUUAUUAAUUUAUUAAUAGUGCGUCGGCAUACCGAAGUUACGGGUUUGUUCCGCGUUCGCGCGGGACAAGCGGUAGGAGAGCAUUUCAAAUGCUGUGAAGGUUCACCCGCGAGGGGGACUGGAGCGUUUGGAAGAGAGAAUGUUGGCACAAGUAACCACAAGCAGGGUGAGAACCCCUGCCGCCGAAAACCCAAGGUUUCCUUGGCAAUGACAAUCAUCCAAGGUUUAGUCGGCCCUAAGGCAAUGGCGAAAGCCGCAGCCGAUGGACAGCUGGUUAAUAUUCCAGCACUGUGGUGCAUAUCGAUGGCGGGUCGGAGCGAAGUAUGUCGGGCGUAUUAUUGGAUUUACGUUUGCGGCGUGAGGAUGGAGCGUAGGCAAAUCCGCGCUCAAGCUCUUUAAUGAGCGCCGUCCAAGCGUCAUGAAAAUCAUGCGGAGCAAUCCAAAUGAAAUUCGAUAAAGCUCGCUUCCAAGAAAAGCGUCUAAGAUUAUAUGCAUCAUGACCGUACCGGAAACCGACACAGGUGGGUUGGUCGAGUAGACUAAGGCGAACGAGUGAGUCUUCGUUAAGGAACUAGGCAAAAAAGCAGCUGUAAGUUCGCAAUAAAGCUUACCAGCCUCACUUUUUGGACAUAAAAAAACCAACUGUUUUAGUUGGCGUGAAGAACUCUAUAUUUUCUAAUCUUUAAAGCAAUAACCGCAAGAAUGAUGAAUGGAGGGUAGAAGACAAGAAUGAAAAACAAUCCUUUAAGCAGAAGUCCAGUAAUAAUAUAUGCGGUUUUGGGACCAAAAAGAUCAGUGAAUACGAAAUUCAGAAUUCCGAUACAAGGGAGCGAUAUAAUGAAGAUGAUAGUUGAUGCCCAAAAUCCGACAAGUAUUGAGCCCACAGUAAACCUCCAACUGUAUGCGGAAUCUGAAAGGGAUUAUACAAAGCAAUAUAAAAAAAGUCAAGUGUGUCUAAAAAGUGAGGCUGGUCGCAGCGAAAGUACCUCUGGCGACUGUUUACCAAAAACACAGGUCCCUGCUAACUCGUAAGAGGAUGUAUAGGGGCUGACGCCUGACCGAUGCGAGAAGGUCAAACAUUUCCGUAGUGGAGUUAAGAUUACAUCAAAAUUUUAUUGCAUGAGAUGUCAAGCCCUCGUCAAUGUCAGCGGUAACUAUAACCGUUCUAAGGUAGCGCAAUUCCUUUCCGGGUAAGUUCCGGAGCGCACGAAAGGCGUAACGAUCGGAGGACUGUCUCAACGAAGAGCUCGGUGAAAAUACAAUGCCGGUGAAGAUGCCGGCUACCUGCAGUUA